GUCCGAGUUGGAUGAUCUUAAGAGGGGAUAAGAAGAUGUUGAAGUCUUACCUCUUGACCUGCAAUACCACAGAUAUGACAACUGAGGUCACGUGAGGUUUCCUCAAUAUAUCACAACUACAUACCAGCAGAGCUAGACCUAAAUUCUGAAUUUACAGAUUCUCCAUACAGUGUUCCCUCAUGGUUAUUCCAAACUAGAGACAUCAAGCAACUGAAGACUAGAACAUUGGGAGUUGGAAUGCAGGACCAAGCCACUUGUGGAAUGGCCACAGAGGGAGGGGAGAUCUGAAAGGCUCAGAGAAAAGCAGAAAAAUCGAGACAGACUGAGAGUGAGCUACCUUGAAUGGAUCUCUCUGUUACUUGAGCCCAAAGAACCUUGACUAGAAUAAGGAGCCUUUGAGAGGCAGCAUUUACAGAGAGCCUGUGUUCUCUGAGGAUUUAUCGCAGAGCAGUGAAGAGACCUAAUUCUCAACCUGGAGAAGUUUAAGUCCAGCAGUGGAGGUUUAUGGUCAGUCCUGACGACUGGGAAGUCCAAGAUCAAGGUGCCAGGAGGCUUGGUUCCAGAAGUCUGAUUCUGGAUGGGAACUGAGGCAGCUGGCCCAGCCCUUCACUGUGUAGAUGAAGCUGAAGUUCUGAGAAAGUCACUCAGUGAGACUCAGAAAGACUAGAACCCCAGGCUUCUGACAUUCCCGUGAGCAUCGCUUACUUGUUAUAGUGGGU